rnacentral:rRNA from 1 species
GACGAACGCUGGCGGCGUGCUUAACACAUGCAAGUCGAGCGGAAAGGCUCCUUCGGGGGUACUCGAGCGGCGAACGGGUGAGUAACACGUGAGUAAUCUGCCCUUCACUUCGGGAUAGCUUCGGGAAACCGAGAUUAAUACCGGAUAUGACCAGUGCCCGCAUGGGUUGUUGGUGGAAAGUUUUUUCGGUGGGGGAUGUGCUCGCGGCCUAUCAGCUUGUUGGUGGGGUAAUGGCCUACCAAGGCUUCGACGGGUAGCCGGCCUGAGAGGGUGACCGGUCACACUGGGACUGAGACACGGCCCAGACUCCUACGGGAGGCAGCAGUGGGGAAUAUUGGACAAUGGGCGGAAGCCUGAUCCAGCAACGCCGCGUGAGGGAUGACGGCCUUCGGGUUGUAAACCUCUUUCAGCUUCGACGAAGCCUUGCCUUUUGUGGGUGGGGUGACGGUAGGGGCAGAAGAAGGACCGGCCAACUACGUGCCAGCAGCCGCCGUAA